GCAGGUUAAUUAAGGGUAUAUGGCGGAUGCCUUGACACUAGAAGGCGACGAAGGACGUGGCGUAACUGCGAUAAGUCUCGGGGAGGUGUGUAGCAACCUGUGAUCCGGGAAUUUCCGAAUGAGGAAACUCAAUUGCGUCUAAACGCAAUUGCUCCGACCUUGUGUCGGAGCGCGAACUCGGCGAAGUGAAACAUCUCAGUAGCCGGAGGAAUAGAGAACAAAAGUAAUUCCCCAAGUAGUGGCGAGCGAAAAGGGAAAAGCCCAAACCUACCGAUGCUCUGCAUCGGAAAUUCCAAGAAACAAGAAACAACAACCAAAUAAUUUGGAAUUUGUAUCUUGGUGAUUGGUGCUUCCGCUGCAUAGCAGCGGUGGGGGUAGUAAGAUAAUAACAUUAGAGAAAUCUUAAAGAGUGAUAAAAAAUUAAGACUUCCUUAAUUGAAAGAACUGGAAAGUUCUACCAUAGAAGGUAAUAGUCCUGUAGAUGAAAAGGGUCUUAUACUCUUGGUUGUUAAUCUUGAGUAUUGCGAGAACAUGUAAUCUCGCAAGAAACAUCCUGAACUAUCUAGGAAAGGCUAAAUACUUCUAGUGAUCGAUAGUGAACUAGUACCGUGAGGGAAAGGUGAAAAGUAGCCCGAUGAGGGCGUUGAAAUAGUACCUGAAACCAUAUACUUACAAAGAGUCGGAGUCCCGAUUUAUCGGGAUGACGGCGUGCUUUUUGCAGAACGAACCAACGAGUUUAUGUAUGUUGUUGUUUAAGUCCGAAUAGGAUGGAGGCAUAGGGAAACCGAGUGUUAAAAGCGCGAAUUAUAACAAUAUGCAUAAGACCCGAAGCCAGGUGAGCUACCCAUGGACAGGAUGAACCCCGAUGAAAAUCGGGGGAAGGUCCGAAUCCACCAGCCGUGCAAUACUGGGGAAUGAGCUGUGGGUUGGAGUGAAAAGCUAAUCGAACCUGGUAAUAGCUGGUUCUCCUCGAAAUAUGUUUAGGCAUAGCCUCUUGUUUUUCUCCUUAGGGGUAGAGCACUAAAUUGGUUGAGGUGGCGUAAGCCUACUCACUAAAUUAAACUCCGAAUACUAAGGCAGACAGCAAGGGAGUAAGACCGUGGGGGCUAAGCUCCAUGGUCAAAAGGGAAAUAGCCCAGACCGCCAUCUAAGGUCCCAAAAUUAAAUUAAGUGGUAAAAGAAGUGUUUUGUCUUUGACAGAUGGGAUGUUGGCUCAGAAGUAGCCAUCAUUUAAAGAGUGUGUAACAACUCACCAUUCUAUCCCUUUAUUGGGUAUGAUGAGACGCGCUGAAAAUGUAACGGGGCUCAAAUUUAAUACCGAAGAUGCGGAUCUCCGACCUUGCGUCGGAGGUGGUAGAGGAGCAUUUUUCCAACAGUGAAGGUUCGACGUGAGUCGGGCUGGAGUUGGAAGAAGAGAGAAUGUUGGUAUGAGUAACCACAAGUCCGAUGAGAAAUCGGACCACCGAAAGCCUCAGGUUUCCUUGGCAAUGUAAAUCAGCCAAGGGUUAGGCGGAUCUAAGACAAACCCGAAAGGGGUAGUUGAUGUUCAGUCGGUUAAUAUUCCGACCCUUCUAUAUUUUUUCUACGGAGUGACAGGAUUUAGUAGUUGAAGCAGAUUAUUGGAUUUCUGUUUGUAUGUUAAGAAGCCAAGUUAGGCAAAUCCGGCUUGGAUUACUUCAAGACACUCAAGAAGUUUCGGUUUCGAUCGGAACGACUUUAAUGAGCAAGUCCUCGAGAAAAACUUCUAUGUUCGCCAAUCGGCGAAAGAAAUAUAGAAUCCGUACCGUAAACUGACACAGGUGGGCGAGGCGAGAAGCCUAAGGUGAACGGGUUAACCUUCGUUAAGGAACUCGGCAAAACAACGGCCGUAAGUUCGCAAUAAGGCCUUCCCCGAUUUAUCGGGGACGCAGCUAAAGAUUCCUAGCGACUGUUUACUAAAAACACAGGUCCCUGCUAACUCGUAAGAGGAUGUAUAGGGGCUGACACUUGACCAGUGCUGGAAGGUUAAUAGUGCCGGUUGUGGCCGCAAGGUUACAGCUGAGUGCUUGAAGCCCCAGUGAACGUCGGCGAUAACUAUAAUCGUCCUAAGGUACCGAAAUUCCUUGACAUGUAAGUUAUGUCCUGCAGGAAAAGUGUAACGACUGGGAAACUGUCUCAACGAAGAGCCCGGUGAAAAUGCAAUGUCAGUGAAGAUGCUGACUACCCGCGACAAGACGAAAAGACCCCAGGAGCUUUACUAUAUCUUGGUAUUGUUUUAACGAUUUUGAUGCGUAGCGUAGAUGGUAGGAUUUGAAGUCUCGAUUUUGGUUGGGA
rnacentral:rRNA from 1 species